GAACAGCAGCGCAAACUAGUCGAAGGCGAAACCAAACCGGGCGCCAACAUCGAUGACGACAAGGACGCGGACGACGACUCGGACGAAGAAAUUGUCAACGUUCCACUGCCACAGACUCGCGGAGGCGGCAACUCAACAACCCCCGCAACAAAUAAUCGCAUUCAACCGAGAGAACCUCCACCAACAGCUCCAAUCGUCGUCCAGCAGCAGUAGCAGCAGGACAAAGAGGAAGGUGGAGACUCCGGCAUCGAUGCCAACAGCCAGGGCACGUGCUCGAGCUCGGACUUCAAGUCCGCCAGCAGUCUGAUCGAGCAACAGCGAAAGAACAAAAAAACGCAAACAACAACUCCAGCAAGUUCACCAACAACAACAACAAAGCAACUCUAGCAGCAGCAGUACGCGAGCGCACGCACAACCAGGGCUGCCAGUGUCCACCUGAGGCAAGUGCUUUUCGCGCCGAGGUCACAUCCGAACGCACACAGAAGCCAUUCAAGUGCAACGUCUGCCAGAUGGUUUUCGUGACAAGUCGAACCAGCGGGCGCACGCCCAAACGCACUCCAACACCAAGCCCCACCCUUUGCCCUCAAGUCCUGCCAGUACAAGCACGAGGACUAAUCCUGUAUGAAGAAAUACAUCCGGAAAGCACCGGGUAAAAGCUAACAGGACAUUCGUCCAAGAGUGGCGCCGGAAGGUCGAAAAGGACCAGCACGGAUCAUCAUCGUUUUCGUCUUCCUUAACAUCUUCAUCCAGCAGUGAUGGCCAUUCCUUCCCGGGAUCAUAGAGGUACGACCAAAAAGCGUGCAUUUCUCGUUUGUGCACCCCGCCCCGGCCAAAACCUGCUUAAGAAGCGACCUCGCCGUCUCCGCCAUCAGAAAGAGCCACCCACUUCCGGUCCGUACAUCAAGAAGUAGAGUUGGAAUCUUGGAGCACGUGAAGUGGACCUGGCCGUGGGUUAACUAGCGAAACUUCAAGCGCACAUAAAGCAGCACCGGACUGGUUUGGGUCGGCAAAAACAAAGCUGCAGCCAUGGCACGAAAAUUGCCAAAGAACUUAAGCAAGUCACUUCGAACAUGCAGACCCACAAGAACCUGACUGCGCUCCGGACUGGUCCCGGACAAUUAUAAGAACCGGUGUUGAAAUUACAAAUCGAAUGGCGUGGCAGCAGAAUGAAAUAGACUGGCGCCGAUAGCAGAGCGGAAGUUUUGCGUGCCUAUGCGUGGUUCUUCCGACCGAUCGAGGUCGAUCUGGUGCUGGUCGAGCAUGACCAAGCGGAAGCUCGCAUGAAAACCACCGGUACCGCACGGCCGACUGUUCCGGCAGAAAAAUUUCGAUGCGCUGGAAUCGAACGGCCAAAGACCACACGGCAAAAACAAUUGAUUAAGCAAUUAGUCCUGAUUUUGUUGAUUUCAACUCUGCUACUAGAAAAGUGGUUUGCCGAUGACUGGAGUAACAAAGAUUGAUUGUUAAACGUUCGUUUUAAAAGCUGAAUUAAAAAAAUAUUUAUCGUUUUAUCAAUUAUUUCGUUUUGUAGGGAAUAUUAAUCAAAAUAGAUGUUUUUAUUUCUUUAACUUGAAAAUUAAACAAAAUAAAUCUAUUGUUUUCAAUGUAAACAGUUUGAUUUAGUUUAAUUUUGAAAUUAAAGCAAUAAAAACAUCUGUUUUGAUUAACAUUCUCUUAAAUAAAUUAAAUUAUACCCAAAAUACUCAUUAAACAGAGCCAUCUAGUGACAAAACAUUGAACAGAGCCAUCUAGUGGCGAAAAGCGGUACUGCCCAGCAGCGGCAAUGUACGGUGGCGCCGCCAGUGUUGAAUAGAGAAAACAGCAAAAAGCUGCACGGGGCGACACGCACACAAUUAAAGGAAAUGUCAAAUUCCAUUCAAAGCAAGAUGAACAUCGGAUGGUCAACGCGCUUUGAGCAUCGAAUGAUCAUGAUCGUUUAUGACCAUUCGAUGCUCAAAAUUUCGGUACCAAUGAUCAAAGAAUUCGCAUUGGUUGUUUUGC